rnacentral:lncRNA from 15 species
AUGAGCAGAGUGGAGCUAUGUGUCUUUCUGUUGGGUCGAGAUGCCAACGCAAACAUACAAGACAACCAGGGAAGGUCAGCAUUAAUGCUGGCGUGUGAGAGUGACAGCGUUGAGACCGUAGAAGCUCUACUGAGGGGUGGGGCCAACACACAGCUGGUUGAUGCACUUGGACACAAAGCCACUGACUACAGCAUAACCACGGGCAACCAACACAUCUUGCAGAUGUUGCAGAAUGGAGCACCUCCAGGUACAGUAUGAGGCCCAAAGUCUUUUUUCAGAGACAUAGAAGCGACCGAAGAUUUCACAAGGCCUAGACGAUUCACUCUCUCUGUUAUAAUAUUAUUAUAAAUUAAGCCUAGUUAGUUCUGUUAAAUCAGGUGGAAUAAAUGAAACCGCUCAUGACAGCAGUUGUUUUUAAUGUGAAGUGGCAGCGUCACAUGAAACACGUGGCAGUAACAUCCAACAGAUCGUCACACCCGUUAUAUGGCUUCUGUUCGUGUACGUGCUGCUCCCGAUCCUGGCUGUGUCUCCGCUCCCCCAGGAAACAGCAGUAAUGGGAGGAAGUGGAUCAGGAGGACAGCUGGGUGUGAUUGUGUGGUGGGAUUAAAAAAAAAAGUAAAAAAAAGAGUAAAAAGAGACGAAAGGGUUGUUCCACUUUUAUCUCCCAACAAAGACGCUACUGAUGUAUGAAAAACAGAUGUCUGGCUGUUUUGAAAAGGAGAUGAAGGAGAGAACAUGGUGUGCAUAUGAUGCCUGACCACAUUAGUCCAAUUCUAUAAUUGGGAGAUUUUGGUGGAUUUACUACAAGAUGCAUGGAUGGUACUAAUAUAAACUGCAUGUUAGAAACGUGACAGGAAGUGAGAGUGUAUAUACCGUGCCUCUAGCUGUUUGCUGUACCUUUUAGGGGUUAAAGUGUCUUGUUGUGUGUCUCCCUCUGCAUACGUAGCCUCUGACGGCGCCGGCGAGGAGGUAAUGUUGCAUAGCUGUGUGUUGGAUCACUCCCUCCAUUAAAUGAGAUCAUGGCCCACUUUGGCUGAUCAUAUUGUGCAUGUUUUCCAAUAUGAGGUCACUAUUUUUGUGUGCUCCUUUGUUUUUCGUUGGCUUUCAUUCCCCUUUUGUUCCUGACCUGUCUUAUCUUUUGAGUUUCCUCAGUUUUCCCAUUUUAAGUUGAGCUUGACCUCUGCUUGUCUGUGAUUCCCCCUGCCCUCACCCCCACGCAGUCCCCCCAAGUCCCCUCAGGCGCCUCAUCAAUGCAAGGGGGCACUACCCCCCGCAAGCGGAAAGCUCCUCCACCGCCUCGCUCUCCUCUCCAGGUACUGUGAGAAACCUCUCAGUGGAUGGAAAACACUAUUUUUAACCACAAGUAGAGGCCGGCCGUACAGUAUGGUUAGCGAAUAUAUAUACCGUAUAUCACUGACUCCCAACCUUUUAGAAGCAGUGGCUAUUACUACCCCCAGUUGCAUUGCAGUGGAGUGAUUAUUUGUUUUAGUUGAAAUCGUUUUAGAAGAGAAAAGGUACAACCAAAAUGAACAAAAAGAUUUAUCUCACAUUUAUCUUGCAACUCUCAGUUUUAAAAUGGUUGAUCUAUAAUGUACUGCGUGACAGCAAACAAGAUACAAGGAUGUUUAAGCUAAUUUCAUAAUAAUCCCUUUGGAAAUAUUGCUUCUCAAGAGAUUAACUAAAGAGUAUAAUGCCUUUGAUGAUUAUUCAUUUUAUUCUGUUUUCUCAUCACAAAGAUGCAGGGUUUGCCACCCUCUCCACAGCCCCGGAGUCCUGCUCCACCUGCAAAGUCCCCUGAGCCCCAGUCCCAGUCUUCUUCUCCCCAGCCUCCAGAAACACAGCAAGCAGCCCAGGUUAGCACUGUAAAAUUAGAUUUUUGUUUACUUGUUAUUAUUUGCUGUUUGUCCUUCAUAUUACAUGAAAUGCAGACCUUAUUAAUAUCAUAUUUAUACAUACAAGGCAGAGGAUGAGGAGGUGUUUGAGGAGAUUCGACGGCUGCGUCUGGAGAGAGGCCGUUUGCUCCAGAAGAUCAAAGCUUUGGAGCAGCAGCAGCAGAGCGCCCUCUCUGCUAUGGAAGAGGUACUACGCUGCAAGCGGUGCAAACGCUCUUUCUUAAUCACGCCUCUGCAAAAUAUGAUUUUAUGUAAACCUAUACCUAUUCUUUUGAGGUCUGUGUGCAUGUACCUGUAUCGGAGACAACAAUGUGUUUGUGAAGACUGAGGGUUGCUUGUUAUAACCACCAUGUGUGUAUGUGCACUGUAGGUUACCCAACUGAAGCAGCGUCUAGAAGAGGCAGAGACAGAAAGAGACAAGUUGCU